CAGAACUGUGAUCUCAAAGAACUUGCAUAUUAUUUUUAUUUUUUUUUUAAGAAAGUAACAGUAAAAUGCAUUUUACCCAUUGGGGGGGNGUUAAAACCCUAUUCGNGAGUAUUUGCACUCGGAAGGGCUAUGAUUGUAUUGAAUAAUCAGACAUAGUACGAUAAGGUUGUAUGUCUAAAGGGAAACAGCCCAGAACAAGAGUUAAUAAGGUUCCAAAAUUAUUGUUAAGUGAAAAUAAGGGAGUUUUUAUCUAAUUCGACUAGGAAAUAGGCUUGGAAGCGGCCAUUUUUUGAAGAUCUCGUAAAAGAGCACUGGUUUGUUGUAUUGAUAAAGGCACCGCAAAUUUAACGGAUCUAAACAAUAUACCGAUACCUUGUACAUAUAUAGCUAUAUAUCUAAGUUAUAGAUAAUAUAUAUGGGGUAGCAGAACAUUGGGCAAAUAUUAGAAUUUUUCUUGUUAAGAAUUAUAAUUAUAUUACCCAAGCGAUAAUGCUGACAUGAGUAACGAUAAAGGGAAUAUUCCCUCGCCUAAAGCUUAUGGAAUUCUAUUAAAGUAACGGCCUCUAAGUUUAUUAUUUGUUUUUAUCUUUAUAGAUAACAAUUAAGUCCUAAAGGACUAAACGAUGAGAAAAUCUUAAAGUUUAUACAAAUAACCUUAAGUAUAAGAAAAGUAUAAUAAAAUACGUGUCUGCCUGCAUAUAAAUUUUUCUAUAUUUACUGUGUACAUUUGCACAUAUAUGCAUAAAAACUUUUUUUAUAAGUGACAAAGGUUCUGGAAAAUAUUAAUAUAAAGUGAAGCAAUAUAGGCGCAAUCCCUGUAUUUUUGCUUGUAAUUCAAUAAACCGUACCUAGAAACUACCCCAAGUAAGUU
rnacentral:rRNA from 1 species